rnacentral:lncRNA from 1 species
UUAGUGAUCAUUUGCCUCUGAAACAAAUCUAGAAAAAUCUGGUUCAUCACCAUCUAUCUGGAGACAUAAGAGAUAAAAUAACGAACAGAGUAUAACAAUAAUGAAUGUAGCAGCCUUAUUAUUAUAUUCCAUUAUCUAGAGGAUAUGAGAUGUGCAUACUUAAAAUGACUACACAGAUGUAGUUCCCAUAUUUGUGAGAAGUCAGGUAUUCUGUCUUUAAGACUCAGUUAUUUCUGCGAUAACCACCGAUUCUCUCUUUUGCAGUUGAAAUUCCAACAAGGUAAAGGCUCCCUCUGUAGGAGUGUGACUGAAAAUGCUCCUGGGCAACAGAAAAGCAACAGAAGAAAAUGUUUUAUAAAGCAAUGUGUUUUCCUAGAGACUUAACAUUUCCUUUUUAAAGUAGGAAACAUUUUAUGCAUUACCUAUACUAAAGAAAGAAGCAUUAGGACUGAUAUGUAUGCAGCUAUAGCUCCAGUGCUUUCUAACCUGUCAGAGACUAAAUAUUAUGUAUGGGGCACAAAAGAAGUUGAGACUGAAUAAGCUGCAAAUAACACUCUCUGCUUUAGGUAACAUUUAUGAGAAGUUUGCUGAAGAACAUCCUCUGAUGAAUAAGGUGAAGUGAAAAAUGAAUUGCAGGUAUCUCUGUAAUAGAAUGAAACAUGAUUUCAGCCAAAGGAUCUUUAUGGAGACAAGAAAAUUCAAAGAGGAACAUGCUUGCAAAGUAUCCUCGUAACCUGUGCUUUUAUAAAGUUUACCACAAUCCAGAUUCAUUAUCUGUCCCACUGGAAAGACUUGGACUGAACAGGUUGGCUGGAGUCCUCCUGGAAUGGAACAGCAGAAAAGGCUCACUAAACCUCUGUUGAGCUGGUCUGUACUGGGUCUACAGGAAGGACCAUCCAUUGGAAGGCUUUGGACACCAACACUAACCAAUUCAUUCCUGUAUCUCCGGGGACACUCCUGUAUCAUUUAUUUAAUGAUUCCUUCACUUACGAUUUAACAGAAACAAGAACAGGACAAACUACGCUGCACCCUUGUAUCUCUAUUCACUUUUAAUGAUUAAGCAAGAGAAACAAGCUACAGUAUCUUC